CAGUCGCCACGGUAAUGCGUAGGUGGCAAGCGUUGUCCGGAAUUAUUGGGCGUAAAGGGCUCGCAGGCGGUUUCUUAGGUCUGAUGUGAAAGCCCCCGGCUCAACCGGGGAGGGUCAUUGGAAGCUGGGAAACUUGAGUGCAGAAGAGGAGAGUGGAAUUCCACGUGUAGCGGUGAAAUGCGUAGAGAUGUGGAGGAACACCAGUGGCGAAGGCGACUCCCUGGUCUGUAACUGACGCUGAGGAGCGAAAGCUUGGGGAGCGAACAGGAUUAGAUACCCCCGUAGUCCCUGUCUCUUAUAC
rnacentral:rRNA from 1 species